UGGACAAGAAUAAUCAACAUGACUUUCAUUCAUUCACAAGCACUACAUGAUGAUUUACAUAACAUCAUAUAUACAUGGAUCACAUGGAAAGUUUACACAUGGCCUUGCAACAAGUUUGUUACACGAUUUCCCCCAAUCCCUUGAAAUCAAGCUGCAAAAAUCACACAAGGAUCACACACAUUACAUCUCAUCGAUAUCACACUCCCCUCAUUUUGCUUCACACGAAUCACUAACAAACUCACAAAAUAUCUUCACGAUUUUACACACAUUUACAAUCCUCACAUGCUCGGAAAUCAACCCUAAUCUAGCCUAUAUAAACUAACAUUAAUCACAAAGAAUGGGGCAGCCAUGGAAUUCAUCUCAAAUCACACUGAAAAAGUAUACUUAAAAUCACUCUGCUGCUUGAGAGUUCUUCAUCCUCGUGAAGAAGCUCCAAGGGUUUGCACAGGGUGAAGCUUUGUUGAGGCUUCAUAUUCAUCUCUAAGCCAUGUUACCACUGUGAUCAUACAAACCACAAGCAAUACAGAGAAAAUUGAGUAGAAGAGAAGAAGAAGAAGUUGAAGUAGGACAAAGAAGGAAGCAUAGAGAAGUAAAAGGAAAAGAGACAACCAAAACACCUAGAAAUUCAACUUCGCCGAAAUUUAGAACCUUCAUUGGAGCUCUGAUUUGGUACCUCCAUUGUGUUUUAUUGAAAGUUUCUUCUUGUUUUUUUUUGUUUAUCCAUAUAGUAUGAUUGUUAUCCCUAAACUAAUUGAGGCUACAUAUGCUUAAUUUGGUCGGAUCGAGCAAUUUUGUGAGGUUAGGGUUUAUUGUUGUGGUCUUGCUUUUGUGUGAUUGAUGUUGUUUUUGUCUGUUGGAAAUUUGUGUUGGAAAUUUGUUAAUCUGGGUAAGUUUUGAUGAUUUAUGGGUUUGGGACUCAAGAACAUUCAAGAUGUUCUUGAGUUUGUUCUUCGUAUUCAUACUUAUUCUGGAAAAAAGGAAGGUUUGAUUUAGAGAUAGAUUAUCGUGUUUUUAAAUUACGUUUCUAGAGAGAGAGAUGGGCGAAAUGAGAGAGGGAGCACAAUUCACCUCUUUUGAUUAAACGCAGAUUAUGCUUCUAGUGGUCACGUGGCGCCUCUAGAUCCAUUUGAUCAUGGCAUCAGGGGCCCUUGUACAGGGAGCCCCAUCGCAGUUCAUUGGAUCUUAUCAGUUUGAUCUUGAUAUAAUGGUCAUUUUUCAUUUGAUCAUAU
rnacentral:lncRNA from 1 species